GUGCUUUUAUGGGUUGUGUUAAAUUGAGAAUAAAAAAUUGGUUUUCGAUUUGGGUGAAAAAGGACGAAUAUGAACACGCAUAGUGCAAGAGGUAAUUGCGUUGUGAUUUCUGGGUUGUGUUGAUUUGAUGGGUUUCUAGUUGGUGUGUUUUGAUUUGUUGGGGAGGGAGGAGGUAGAUGUGUUAGUGUUAAUGGGUCUUUUUAUUUUGAGUGCUGAUACAUACUUAUCCCCAAUCACAACUCCUCCAAACUGCCUCCAUCAAUUUAGACAAUAAAUUGAACUUAAAAUAAUUAGGGUUGGCAAAGAAACCCAUAAAGCCAGAGAAAAUUAAUUGAAGCAGCAUGUAAAAAAAUUAUCCAGGGCUAGAAACAAUAUGGGUUCUUGAACAAAAACUCUAUCACAUAGAUGUGUGUUGAACAAUCUGGGUACUUGAAAAAAGAAUUGCAGUGAGUUAUGGUUUUAUGAACAACAACCCAAAAUGGCGACGAUGGGUGGCGAGGCAUAGACAAUUGGAAGGAGAAAUCUGUAGGGCGCCGCUAAUAAUGCACAUGAAAAGAGAUGGGUUUGAAAUUUUGAGAAAGAAGAUAAGAGAUAAUGUCUCACUGCAUAUGGGUAUAGAGUGCACUCAAUUUUUUUAAUAAUAAAUAAAUGCCACAAAGGGGUGUGUAUAUGGGAGGUAUGGAAAAAGGGUCUAUACCAAUAAUAACUCUUUUAUUUUAGAUAAUAACC
rnacentral:lncRNA from 1 species